GAUGAAGAACGUAGCGAAAUGCGAUAAGUAAUGUGAAUUGCAGAAUUCAGUGAAUCAUCGAAUCUUUGAACGCACCUUGCACCCUUUGGCAUUCCGAAGGGUAUGCUCGUUUGAGUGUCAUUGUACUCUCACACUUCCGAUCUUUGGAUUGGGAGCGGUGGACUUGGGUGUUGCUGCUUACUGUGGCUCACCUCAAAUCGAUUCGUGCACCUCCUGGUUGGACAUAGUACGGCGUGAUAAGUGUCUUCGCCGGCACCUCAGUAGAGGGUGGCUGAUCGGGAGCUCUGCUUCAAACCGUCCUCGGACAACAACUGACAACUUGACCUCAAAUCGAGUAGGACUACCCGCUGAACUUAAGCAUAUCAAUAAGCGGAGGA
rnacentral:misc_RNA from 1 species